rnacentral:rRNA from 1 species
UACGUAGGGGGCAAGCGUUGUCCGGAAUCAUUGGGCGUAAAGAGCUUGUAGGCGGUUUGUCGCGUCUGCUGUGAAAAUCCGGGGCUCAACCCCGGACUUGCAGUGGGUACGGGCAGACUAGAGUGUGGUAGGGGAGACUGGAAUUCCUGGUGUAGCGGUGAAAUGCGCAGAUAUCAGGAGGAACACCGAUGGCGAAGGCAGCUCGCUGGGACGGUACUGACGCUGAGGCGCGAAAGCGUGGGGAGCGAACAGG